rnacentral:rRNA from 1 species
AGUGAACGCUGGCGGCAGGCCUAACACAUGCAAGUCGAACGAAGUCUUCGGACUUAGUGGCGGACGGGUGAGUAACACGUGGGAACGUGCCCUUUGGUACGGAAUAACUCAGGGAAACUUGAGCUAAUACCGUAUGUGCCAUUCGGGGGAAAGAUUUAUCGCCAUUGGAGCGGCCCGCGUCUGAUUAGCUAGUUGGUGGUGUAAUGGACCACCAAGGCGACGAUCAGUAGCUGGUCUGAGAGGAUGAUCAGCCACAUUGGGACUGAGACACGGCCCAAACUCCUACGGGAGGCAGCAGUGGGGAAUCUUGCGCAAUGGGCGAAAGCCUGACGCAGCCAUGCCGCGUGAAUGAUGAAGGUCUUAGGAUUGUAAAAUUCUUUCACCGGGGACGAUAAUGACGGUACCCGGAGAAGAAGCCCCGGCUAACUUCGUGCCAGCCGCCGCCGUAAGAC